GACGAACGCUGGCGGCGUGCUUAACACAUGCAAGUCGAGCGGUAAGGCCCUUUCGGGGGUACGACGAGCGGCGAACGGGUGAGUAACACGUGGGUGACCUGCCCUCAGCUCUGGGAUAAGCCUGGGAAACUGGGUCUAAUACUGGAUAUGACUCCACGGUGCAUGUCGUGGGGUGGAAAGCCUUGUGCGGCUGAGGAUGGGCCCGCGGCCUAUCAGCUUGUUGGUGGGGUGANGGCCUACCAAGGCGACGACGGGUAGCCGGCCUGAGAGGGCGACCGGCCACACUGGGACUGAGACACGGCCCAGACUCCUACGGGAGGCAGCAGUGGGGAAUCUUGCGCAAUGGGCGAAAGCCUGACGCAGCGACGCCGCGUGAGGGAUGACGGCCUCGGUGUAAC
rnacentral:rRNA from 1 species